GCAGAAGCCAGGCUGCAGGAUUGCCAGCUCAGGAGAGGACAGCCGCCAUGUUGUGAGCAGCCCUGUGGAGAGGCCCUAGUGGCAAGGACCCGAAGUGGAGUCUCCUUCUCCAGCUGCAGCCUGGCUGACAGUUUGACUACAACUUCCUAAAGAGACCCUGAGCCAGAACCACCAGGUGUUCCUGCUGACCAGAAAUGCAGGGUAUCCCGUCAGCCAAUUCCCAAAGGCCAGGCCAACUCUGGGCUCUCCACUUACUUCCUUGUUCCUUCUCACCCCAAACAAGGUGGACUCGGAGGCCCCAGACUAUCA
rnacentral:lncRNA from 1 species